UUGGUGCCUGCCAAAGAUUAAAAAGAUUCAAAAAUAUAUAAAUUUGUGCAUUCAGAUUCAUCCAGUCUUCACAACCAGAUAAAGCUCCAAAAUUACAUCACUAGGUAAAGGCAUAAUCUAUUGUUAUAAUAUGUAAACAUAAAAAAAUGGUUGUGCAUUCUCUUGCUAAAGUACUGGAAAGUUAUAAAUUGCUUCUGGGUUUAAAGACUCAGAGAUUUUUUUAUAUAAUGAACAGCAACACCAUUUUGUUUAAGUCAAAUGUAUUCACCGUUGCAAUGCUAAUCCUUAACAGAAUUCCCAGAAAAGGAGUUCAUCAUUUGUGAUGUCAAUGAGGUGACAGUAUAAAGCUGGUCCCAAAUACAACCUGGAUGUCAGAGUCAAGUGUCAAGUUGACUCACUGUGCAAUGAAACUUUAUUUUGAGUUUUCUGGUUAACAAAUCUUUGCCUUGGCUGGGGAUUUUUGAUUGUGUAUUGGUUCUGGUGAAAGAGGACCUUUUGAUUCCCAUUUUCACCAAUGCCCAUUCUUUGACUUAUACAUCUCCUGAUCAUCGUAAUUUUUCAUUUAUUUUCUUUUGCAAGUUACUACAUCUGUACAUUUAGCCAAAUUUUAAAUUUUAUGUAUGUAUAUAUAUAUAUUGUAAAUGCCACAUGGGUUGAAUGGGCGUCCCGGCCAGAAGAGGGGAUGGUUCCUCACCUGGACAGGAGGCUCCUAAAAAGCAGACAGGCAUCCCGGAUGGAGAGGAGAAGGGGAUCACACUCAGAAGAGAGAGCCAGAAAGGAUGGAUGGACAGCCCACCAGAAAGAAAUAAUGUGACUGGAGUUUUUUAAAUCCCCCAGCACACUACAUGGCAGUGGCCCUGGAUAUCGCUGCCUAGUGGGAAGCCAGCAGAGCAUGCCGGGAAAUGUAGUCUGGCACAGCCCUGCUGCGGUCACUGGGUACCGCAAGAGCUCCCUGCUGUAAUGGACCUUCAUAUAACCCAGAAGUGCUUCCAUCGGGCAGUGGACCCCUACACAGGAAGUACUCCCAAGGUCCUUAAUAACUCCCUUGUUCAGGUAAGUCAGAACUGGGAGGAAGAAAGGCAAAACUCAACUGGAGGAGGGCAGUGCAGUGGUAAGAAUUGGAAGCAGAGAGAAUUAUGUCUAUUGAAGAGAGAAAUCUGUGUUUUUGUGAUAGUUUGUCGUACUGUGGAAGGAAUACGGGUGAAUAAACCAUCCUUUAUUUGUACCUGGGACUCUUGGUGUGUUUGUGUUAGGGGUUUGGGCCACUGACUCCCUGGAAUCCUUCACUAUAUGUAUAUAUGUAUGUGAGUAUGUAUUGGUGUAUUUAUGGAAGCUGUACUAUAAAUUAAAUUGACUUGAUGAAUCUUCUAUGUAUCUCUAGUUGCUCUCAUGUGCUACUUACGUUGUGCCUUGUACCUCACUUGGAUUCAGACGCUACACCAUCUGCCUCACUUUCCUCAACUCGAUGAGCAAAUUAAAGCCACGAUCCUUAAGGAGACUCACAAGUGGUCACCCACACAGGCCGGUGAAUUUUAGAAGAGGGGAAGUAACUUUUGCUUGCAGGGGAUUCAAUACAAUGGGUCUUCUUUGAAGUUGGCUACACAGGCCUUUGAUCAGGCAGUGGCAGAACAGAACACCACCACAGAAGAACCAGAAAAGAAAACAUUGUUUUAUAAUCACCAGAAGGUGACAUCAAUGUGACAUCAUUGCAACCCUCACCCUCUGUAUUCAGGCAGAAGACUAACACAAAGCCAGAUUUAGUACACAGGGGCUCAUCAUUUAG